GGGCCGUUAGCUCAGUUGGUAGAGCAGCGGACUCUUAAUCCGUUGGUCGAAGGUUCGAAUCCUUCACGGCCCACCA
rnacentral:tRNA from 1 species